CGGCAUGAAAGUGGCCCGUGGGCUCGUGCCUGGGCCACCAGGGGAGCCCGUGUGCAAGCCCGACCCGGCCCACAGAGCAACUGGGCCGGGCUAGGCACGGCCCGUAAAAAACGGGCCAAGGCGGGCCCAGGCGUGGGCCGGUCCGGGCGGCCCGAAUGGCCAUGUAUAACGGAGCCCCAUCGCUAAACCAUGGAUGCAACCUCAUCUUCAGAUUCUGCGACAUGGUUGGAUUUGAUGCCAUUACAUAAGCUGAGAGAACUUCAGUCAGCAGUAGGCAAUCUAAGGUAAAUUGGCUAUAAUGGCCUGAGCUCUAAAGAACCAGUUGCUUUGAAGAGUUAGAACUUAGGCACUGAAGAUAUAUAUUCUGCCAGCGAUUCAGCUCGCCCCACAUGCAUACACUGAGCUAUUUCUAUGCUAAUGAAAAUAGACUUGUCUGUUUGAAUGACACAUCUCUUAUUUUCUUCUUGUCAGGCCUUGUCAAUUUGCUAUAUGUUUACUCUAUAGAAGGUCAAUUUGCUGUAUGUUUGCUCCUGGCCUCCAUGGUACUCUGAAUUUUUUUAGCUAAAGAUGCUGCUCUGG